UACGGAGGGUGCGAGCGUUGUCCGGAAUCACUGGGCGUAAAGGGCGCGUAGGCGGUCCGGUAAGCGCGUGGUGAAAGCCCGGGGCUCAACCCCGGGUCGGCCGUGCGGACUGCGGGACUGGAGCACUGUAGAGGCGGGCGGAAUUCCGGGUGUAGCGGUGAAAUGCGUAGAUAUCUGGAGGAACACCGGUGGCGAAGGCGGCAUCCUGGACCGGCAUUGACGUUGAGGCGCGAAAGCUAGGGGAGCAAACGGG
rnacentral:rRNA from 1 species